rnacentral:rRNA from 1 species
AUGGAUUCUAAGAAGGUGAUUGCUGCUGCUAAUCUAACUGAUGAUCUAGUGGUGGAAAUCUUCUCUCGGGUACCGUUCAAGUCUUUUUGCCGCUUCAAAUGUGUCUGCAAGGCCUGGCUUGCCUUCGCCUCUGAUCCACACUACCAUCGAAAACUGCCGAAAAUUCCCACUGGUCUUUUUCAUGGAGGCAAUGAUGGGUCUGUUGCCGAACUUGUUAGCAUGUCCCCAAAUGAUGAAGAAAUUAAUGGUGCUCUUACAUUCUUGCCGCACCAUGAGCAUUUAGAAUUUGUGGACUGUUGCAAUGGCCUAGUUCUUUGUAAGUACAAGAUCACUUAUGCUUCUGCGGAAGCUUGCCGCUUCAUCAUGUGUAACCCUGCAACAAGGGAGUGGAGUUCACUUCCUGUUCCUGAUACUCAACCUGACCCAACUGAGUUCGUGGGUGACACUUUUUUGGCUUUCGACCCAUCAUGGUCAGCACAGUUCUAUGUCUUUAACUUUCAGGAGAAGUUUGAUGGUUAUUGGACACUCGGUAUCAACAAACUUGAGGUGUUCUCGUCUGACCUAUCCACCUGGAUUGUGGAUGCUGCAUGGAGUCCUUUUAUAAAGAUUUGUAAUCCACACCACUUUAUAGGAGGAGUUUUGUAUGUGCACACAGAUGGGGGCGACAUUCUGGGGUUGGAGGUAAUCGGUUCUGGCAUACCACCACGUCAUUUUACUUUCAAGUUGCCGCAAGGCCAUUCAGAUCUCGUGUCUGGUUGCUUUGGUCAAUCAUUAGGGUUCUUGCAGUGUGCACUUCCAGAGCGGUCCGGUCAUACAAUUGCAGUUUUCAGUCUUGAUACUUGUCAUUCCUACAAAUGGUCUUUGAAGUAUCGUCUUAGUAUGGGCAAUGCAUUUGGAAGGGACGACUUCCUUCACAUUGAUGACGAGGGCUGGUACCGUUGGCUUGAUUAUCAGAUUGUCGCUCUUGAUUCGGAAAGAAAGGUUCUCUCCCUUGUUGACAAGGUUCAAAUGAAGCUUUUGUCAUAUGACAUCAUCACUGGAAAACUUAGCGAGAUCGAAGAUGGUUGUCGUACUGACUACCUUUAUUAUGUGGCAUGCUACUCAAAACUUUGA